GCCCGCAUAGCUCAGGGGUAGAGCGUAUCACUAGUAGUCAGGACUUAACAUCUUAACAAUUAGACAUGAUAAGGUCAUCAGUUCAAUUCUGAUUGUGGGCA